rnacentral:lncRNA from 1 species
AGACAGCAUGAGGGGAGGCUCUACUUCCAUCCAGUCUUCUUGAAUAGCUUCUGCUUCAUGAACCCCAGAGCAAUUCAAUUCCAGUGUCCUUGCAGUCUGUCUCAAAGAAGGCAGAGUAUCAGAAGGAAACAGCUCUACCGUCUUCCCUGUAUCACUAACGGAAGGCAUCAAGCUCUCUCCUUCACUAAGCAAAGGUCAUGUUUUCCUCAUCAGCACUGCAAC